CCUUGAGAUAAUUGCCCACAUCUCCACUUUGAGCAAAUAGUAUUAGUAUUUGGGGUUCCUUGGAAAGGCUUUAAGGAGGAAAUAUCCAGGGUACUAGGCAGGAAAUAGGAGUGAGGACCAAGGACGAUGCAGAGCUAUCAUGGCCCAGGGGUUGGCUCCCCAGCCUCAGUGGGAGACGAUGGAGGGCCUUGGCCCACUUCUGGUUGGUUGGAUCCCAAGCCCAGCCCAGGAAGGUCAGCCAGUUCCUCUUGCAGUAAGGAGGUCUCCUGAAGGGAUGAGCACCCAGCUGACUCAAUGGUCCUCUUUGUUCCCAGGAAGCUCAGAGCCUCCCUCAGGUGAUCAAGGCCCAGGAAGAUGGGGUGCAGGGAGAGUGUUGGUGAGGAAAUUUGCAGCAUCAGUGGAAUAUGAGGUCAUCUGAAAGUCACAAGAUCUAGUCUCUGGGAUCCUGGCUCCUUGUUAGAUAGCCUUGGGCACCAUCACUCUUCCUUGGUUUCUCCAUCUUGGGAGCAAUCUUGUUGGACUGGCCCUCGGGCACAUUCUGAAAGAGUGCUAAUUAAAAUACGUGGAACAGAAGACUGUUCAUGAAGUGUGGAACCAAGGUACCCACACCCACAGGCAGUGUGACUCAGCAGGAAGGUCCAUCCAAGACCUCCCAGGAGCUUGCCCCAUGGCUGAGCAGAAGCAGGAAGCAUGACGGGUUGGAAACAGCUCCCGACUGACUGCUAGAGUGUCAUGGGUUGGCAAGACACUGCUGACUUUAGUCCUUAAAUGCCUCGUCAUAGUCCAGAGAUGACCCAGGCGCUGACCUUCAGAUGCCUGAACAGUGCCAGGAUUUCAACUUGGAAGGGACCAGCCCUGUCAUUUUACCCAUGGAGAGGAGUGACUUUUCCAGGGUCACACUGGUCAUAAAGAGCAGAGCUGGGGUUUGUACCCAGGUCUUUGCCAUGCACAUAGAUAUAUACACAUACAUACAUCACCACAUUGCUUCUCAAAUUCCUGGCUGCUCUCUGGGGCAGUUCAACCCAGGCAUCAGACUCUGAGAGAGCUGUUUCUCCAUACUCUGGAAGCAUCUCCUUCAGGGCUUCCUCUGAAGUCCCAGUGGCUUCAGUGGCCAAAGCAGAAGCCUCAGAGCUAGUCCAACAUGUCCAGGCCAGACUCUGUGGACUUCUUAGUCAGCCCCAAGCUUCCUUCUUAGUGCUAGGCUGGCUUCAGUAUGUGCUGAAGGAGCUGGGGGAGCAGACAGAGGUGAUGGUCCCUCUCCACCUACUGCUGUGGGGCUCUGUAAUCCCAUUCAGCUGGAUGCUGGAGGGGCCUUUUCACUCCUUCUCCUUCUCCUCCUUCUCCUUCUCCUUCUUUUUGUUGGACUGUUUAUUUUCUUUUUCGUGUCCCAAACUGCUCUACCCUUGGGAGUUUAGAGA
rnacentral:lncRNA from 1 species